UCGGGAAUUUUGGGCAAUGGGCGAAAGCCUGACCCAGCAACGCCGCGUGCAGGAUGACGGUCCUAUGGAUUGUAAACUGCUUUUGUACAGGAAGAAACAGUUCUACGUGUAGAACCUUGACGGUACUGUAAGAAUAAGGAUCGGCUAACUCCGUGCCAGCAGCCGCGGUAAUACGGAGGAUCCAAGCGUUAUCCGGAAUCAUUGGGUUUAAAGGGUCCGUAGGCGGUUAGAUAAGUCAGUGGUGAAAGCCCAUCGCUCAACGGUGGAACGGCCAUUGAUACUGUCUGACUUGAAUUAUUAGGAAGUAACUAGAAUAUGUAGUGUAGCGGUGAAAUGCUUAGAGAUUACAUGGAAUACCAAU
rnacentral:rRNA from 1 species